CUUCUGCGGGACUGUGUCCAGAUAGAAGGGAAAGCUAGCUUCAGCAGGAAACCGCAAGUAGGAGGACCAUGCAAAUUCCAACUUUUAGAUGCUCCAAUCACUAAACAGCAGUCCUAAAAGGCAUUCUGGGUUCACACUAACAUGUACACUUGUGCUCUGAGUAUAAAAAGCCUGAUGCUCGCAAUAAACUUUGGAUCAUCUUGCAGCUAACUCAUAUUGAGUCGUCUCUUGACUUUCUCAAAUCCCGCCUCCGCAACCUUUCAACAGUCUGAUCUGGCCUGUGCCCCAGCCUAAUGGAGACUGGCGAUUGACAGUAGACUUUCAUGCCCUUAACAAGGUAACUCCACCCGUGAGCGCAGCAGUGCCGGACAUGCUGGAACUCCAGUACGAGCUGGAAUCGAAGGAGGCCAAAUGGUACCUGUCCUGGAGUCCUGUAUACCCCUAAAUUCCUCUCCUGCUGUGGCUUGAAUAGGAGGAGGAAAGCCGCCUGGUUACCCCCCCUCCCUCGCCUGCCCUGCAGGUGUGGAGGGGGUGAGCAAAGAGGUCCUGCCCGCACAAGGAGUGCCCCGUGCAGUGCCCGCACUGGAAUUGGGCUGGGAUUGGCUGUGCCUUUUCGUGCCUAAGGAAGUGGUAGUUCUGCUCUUUGUCUAGAGAGGGUAUAAAUAUUGGGGGCUUCCCGCUUUUGGGGGUUCCUGCCUUGGAGUUCGUCCCCGCUUGGAGUUCGUUCCUGCCUGAACCUUCGUGCUUGCCUGAUAGUUCUACCCCUGCCUGGAUACAGAAAGAGCUUCAAAGACUGCUUCAUCCAUUGACACCCUUUGUAAGCUUAACGACCCUUAACGGUCCACCUGCAGCUGCUGAAAGGGAAUGAGAGAGACAGACCGCAUGAGGAAGUCAGCCUGAUCAUGAGUUAUUUUGGCUCAACUUUAUUAGUAAGAAAAUGCUAUUAAUUAAUAGCUAAAGCCUUUUCCAACUUCUGACUUCCAAAAUAGUCAGAUUAUCGAUGGCAUCCCUGUAGAUAUUCUCAAGCAACUGAAUCUGUUAAUUAAACUUAAUCAAUCUUUGUAUAUAUAGUUUUGGGGUGGGUUUUUGGGAAAAUAAAAUAACUCUAUUUUUGUAUAAAAAUUCCCGACUCGGCCACAUUAAUUCCUGCCUCCACAACAGUAUCCUACCAUAGACAUUGCUAAUGCUUUCUUCUCUAUUCCCAUAGCAAAGGAGUGCAGGCCUCAGUUUGCAUUCACCUGGAGAGGAAUCCAGUACCAGUUCAACCGUUUGCCUCAGGGGUGGAAACACAGCUCAACAAUCUCUCAGUCAUCCACAGUGCACUGGAGAAAGAUGGUUCCUGUCAUCUUGUUGGGAGCAAGUGAAGAUGGAAGUCAGCAGUCUUGAGUCCUACCAGGAGAGUUACUGAAGCGAUAGAUGGAGAAGUAGAAUCCAGUCAAUUCGCUGAGGUAAAAGCUGUCCAGCUUGCUCUUGAUGUGGCUGAACGUGUAAAUUGGCCUAUCCUUUACCUCUAUACUGACUCAUGGAUGGACGCCAAUGUUCUAUGGCGUUGGCUAUAGGACUGGAAAACGAAUGGUUGGCAGAGGAAAGGAAAGCCUAUUUGGUGUGCUGAUCUAUGGCAGGACACUGAUGCACAACUGGAGAGAAUUCCAGUGAAGGUGCGGCAUGUAGGUGCACACAUGCUUAAGCUACCGAGGAACACCAACACAAUCAGCAGGCAGACCAAGAUGCUAAAAUUUCUCAAGUUGAUACAAACUCUGAUCUUGACCUUGAUUGGAAACACCGAGGUGAACUGUUCUUAGCUCGGUGGGCCCAUAAUUCAUAUGGACACCAAGGCAGAGAUGCAACAUACCGCUGGGCACGUGAUAGGUGAAUUGACUUAUCCAUGGGCGCUAUCACCCAAGACAUACAUGACUGUGACAUUUGUGCUUCUAUGAUGACAAGGGCAUGGGAGUGGGACCCAUACUGGACUUCUGCUGCUUAUGCUGAUGUUUGGGGUUGCUCUAAGCCAAAAUGCGUAUAAUUGUACAUCCUGCAUUGAAGCCGUUCUCCAAGGCAGCAUGAUAACUGGAACACUGGUUUACUAUAAGAUUAGAAUUAUUGUGAGGCUAUAGGUUGGGAUUGUAUAUCAAGAAAUGUCCACCAGAGUGAAAUAUGAAAUUCCCACUUGUUGGAAUGCAAUGUGAGAAGGAAUAAUAAUAAGAAGCAAAUUCUGACCUUGGUUCCCACAGCUGGCUAUCUUAUCUGGGGAGAAGGAUAGAUAAGUGGACAUCUCGUUAAUGAGAAAAACAAGGCGUGGUGUAUGUAAAAGACUGUAUUGUUCUUGCCUAAUUAUGCUAAUGUGGAGGUGUGUGCUCUAUGCUCAAGAGAGCCAGAAUGAUCAAUAAAGAUCUCUGGUAUAAUUCA